GACGAACGCUGGCGGCGUGCUUAACACAUGCAAGUCGAACGGAAAGGCCCUGCUUUUGUGGGGUGCUCGAGUGGCGAACGGGUGAGUAACACGUGAGUAACCUGCCCUUGACUUUGGGAUAACUUCAGGAAACUGGGGCUAAUACCGGAUAGGAGCUCCUGCUGCAUGGUGGGGGUUGGAAAGUUUCGGCGGUUGGGGAUGGACUCGCGGCUUAUCAGCUUGUUGGUGGGGUAGUGGCUUACCAAGGCUUUGACGGGUAGCCGGCCUGGGAGGGUGACCGGCCACAUUGGGACUGAGAUACGGCCCAGACUCCUACGGGAGGCAGCAGGGGGGAAUAUUGCACAAUGGGCGGAAGCCUGAUGCAGCAACGCCGCGGGCGGGAUGACGGCCUUCGGGUUGUAAACCGCUUUCGCCUGUGACGAAGCGUGAGUGACGGUAAUGGGUAAAGAAGCACCGGCUAACUACGUG
rnacentral:rRNA from 1 species